CAAGGUAGGAUCCAUGCCUGGUUUAUUUUAAUAAACGUGAGCUUGUCCACGUUGGCCAAGGACAGGCGGCUGCGCUUAUCUGUGAUAACCUUGUGCCAAUCGCACAUCCCCGUGACUGCGACAACGCAUUUGUAUGUCUGCCCUAUCAACUUUCAAUGCUAUUUUCUGUGCCUACCAUGGUGACCACGGAUAACGGGGAAUCGUGGUUCGAUUCCAGAGAGGGAGACUGAGAAACGGCUACCACAUGCAAGGAAAGCAGCAGACGCACAAAUUACCCACUCCCGACACUGGGAGGUAGUGACG